rnacentral:tRNA from 1 species
GCCGGGGUGGCGGAAUUGGUAGACGCAAGGGACUUAAAAUCCCUCGUAGGUUAGCCUACGUGCCGGUUCGAGUCCGGCCCUCGGCA